rnacentral:rRNA from 1 species
AACGAACGCUGGCGGCAGGCUUAACACAUGCAAGUCGAGCGCCCCGCAAGGGGAGCGGCAGACGGGUGAGUAACGCGUGGGAAUCUACCCAUCUCUACGGAAUAACGCAUGGAAUCGUGUGCUAAUACCGUAUACGUCCUUCGGGAGAAAGAUUUAUCGGAGAUGGAUGAGCCCGCGUUGGAUUAGCUAGUUGGUGGGGUAAAGGCCUACCAAGGCGACGAUCCAUAGCUGGUCUGAGAGGAUGAUCAGCCACACUGGGACUGAGACACGGCCCAGACUCCUACGGGAGGCAGCAGUGGGGAAUAUUGGACAAUGGGCGCGAGCCUGAUCCAGCCAUGCCGCGUGAGUGAUGAAGGCCCUAGGGUUGUAAAGCUCUUUCACCGGUGAAGAUAAUGACGGUAACCGGAGAAGAAGCCCCGGCUAACUUCGUGCCAGCCGCCGCAGUAACAC